UACGUAGGGUGCGAGCGUUGUCCGGAGUUACUGGGCGUAAAGCGCACGCAGGCGGUCUGCUAAGUUUGGAGUGACAGUUGGUGGCUUAACUGCCAAAGUGCUUCGAAAACUGACAGACUUGAGGGCUUCAGAGGGACACGGAAUUCCGGGUGGAGUGGUGAAAUGCGUAGAGAUCCGGAGGAACACCAAAGGCGAAGGCAGUGGGCUGGGGAGUAACUGACGCUCAGGUGCGAAAGCCUGGGGAGCGAACGGG
rnacentral:rRNA from 1 species